rnacentral:rRNA from 1 species
UUCCUACGGGGGGCUGCAGUGAGGAAUAUUGGACAAUGGAUGGAAAUCUGAUCCAGCCAUGCCGCGUGCAGGAAGAAUGUCCUAUGGAUUGUAAACUGCUUUUGUAUGGGAGCAAUAAGGUAUUCGUGAAUACCGAUGAGAGUACCAUACGAAUAAGCACCGGCUAACUCCGUGCCAGCAGCCGCGGUAAUACGGAGGGUGCAAGCGUUAUCCGGAUUUAUUGGGUUUAAAGGGUGCGUAGGCGGUUAUAUAAGUCAGCGGUGAAAUUUUUCAGCUUAACUGGAAUCAUGCCGUUGAUACUGUAUAGCUUGAAUAUGGUUGCUGUGAGUGGAAUGUGUAGUGUAGCGGUGAAAUGCUUAGAUAUUACACAGAAUAUCGAUUGCGAAGGCAACUCACAAAGCCAUUAUUGACGCUGAGGCACGAAAGUGUGGGGAUCAAACAGGAUUAGAUACCCGAGUAGUCUC